rnacentral:lncRNA from 1 species
AAGGCUCCUUUCCAUAGAGUCUUGUGGCGUCCUCAACCCCCCCAUCCUUCCACUCCAAUUCGUUUGCCAAGCUUGAGAGUGAUACACGUCCAGCAAGCAAAGCACCAUCUCAAUCCACUUCAAUCAUCAACUGAUUAGGCUGAGAGUGUCACACGACCAGCAGCCUAAUUCCAUCCUAUCUAUCUUUAUUUAUCUUAUUUUAUCAUAUUAGAAAUCAUAUCUCAUUUGUUUUUGCAUUUGUUUUCAGCAUCAUAACUUGCAUUCCAUCCUAUCGCCCAUC